UACGGAGGGUGCAACGUUGCUCGGAAUCAUUGGGCGUAAAGCGCACGUAGGCGGCCUGAUAAGUCGGGUGUGAAAGCCUGGGCUCAACCCAGGAAGUGCACUCGAAACUGUCAGGCUUGAAUAUGGAAGAGGGUCGCGGAAUUCCGGUGUAGAGGUGAAAUUCGUAGAUAUCGGGAGGAACACCAGUGGCGAAGGCGGCGACCUGGGCCAAUAUUGACGCUGAGGUG
rnacentral:rRNA from 1 species